UACGAAGGGGGCUAGCGUUGCUCGGAAUCACUGGGCGUAAAGGGUGCGUAGGCGGGUCUUUAAGUCAGGGGUGAAAUCCUGGAGCUCAACUCCAGAACUGCCUUUGAUACUGAGAUCUUGAGUUCGGGAGAGGUGAGUGGAACUGCGAGUGUAGAGGUGAAAUUCGUAGAUAUUCGCAAGAACACCAGUGGCGAAGGCGGCUCACUGGCCCGAUACUGACGCUGAGGCACGAAAGCGUGGGGAG
rnacentral:rRNA from 1 species